rnacentral:rRNA from 1 species
UACGGGGGGGGCGAGCGUUGUUCGGAAUUACUGGGCGUAAAGCGUGCGUAGGUGGUUCGUUAAGUCUGAUGUGAAAGCCCUGGGCUCAACCUGGGAAUGGCAUUGGAAACUGGCGACCUAGAGUGCGGUAGAGGGUAGUGGAAUUCCCGGUGUAGCAGUGAAAUGCGUAGAGAUCGGGAGGAACAUCUGUGGCGAAGGCGACUGCCUGGACCAGCACUGACACUGAGGCACGAAAGCGUGGGGAGCAAACAGG